rnacentral:lncRNA from 1 species
UAUUGACACAGAAGUGAGCAUAUUAGGAAAAGCCUCUGCCAUUUCUCAUGGAACAAGCGAGAUCCCCACAUCCUAACAGACAAUUGGGACAAACAAGGGAUUUCAGAAUGAGACUGUGAACACUGUGUCCCCAGAUCCCAGCCAGUGAAGUCAGAGUAAUGAUUCCUAUGGUGUGGAGAAAGCUGCACAGCAGGAAGUGUCCAUGGGAUGGACCUGGAGAAGAAAGAAGGCGAGAGGCAUCUUUAGCUUGUUGGAAUCCCUGCUCCCAGCUUUUCCUGGGCUUCUGACCCAGCCUUGACCCUUGACCUUCCCUCACUUGUUCUAGCUGUCUUUGAUGUGGCCACCUGAUAACACGUGUUUGCUAACAUGUAUUGGGGUUUGAAGUGAAUGCACAUGCAACAGGGUAGAGGAGGGAGACCUGGAACAAGAGUUACUGAAGCUGGAGCAUGUCCGCGGCUGAUGGCUGGACGUCAGCAAGUGGAAGAAACAUGAUCUCAUUGUGUAGAAUAGUGUGCCCGGCCAGCACACGGGUACUGUUAGAAAAGAAUGGGAGAAUAUUUGACAGAUUAUGGGGAUCUCAAGGUGGUAAGGCUUCGAGGACUCCUGUUUUACCCCUUUACCAUGUGAUUCAAAGCUUCUACACUGAAAAUAUAAAGACAAUAAAU